rnacentral:tRNA from 1 species
GGGGAUAUAGCUCAGUUGGUAGAGUGCUUGCCUUGCAUGCACAAGGCCCUGGGUUCAACCCCCAGCACCUCA